rnacentral:rRNA from 1 species
UCCAGCCAUGCCGCGUGUGUGAAGAAGGCCUUAUGGUUGUAAAGCACUUUAAGCGAGGAGGAGGCUCUUUUGGUUAAUACCCAAGAUGAGUGGACGUUACUCGCAGAAUAAGCACCGGCUAACUCUGUGCCAGCAGCCGCGGUAAUACAGAGGGUGCAAGCGUUAAUCGGAUUUACUGGGCGUAAAGCGCGCGUAGGCGGCCAAUUAAGUCAAAUGUGAAAUCCCCGAGCUUAACUUGGGAAUUGCAUUCGAUACUGGUUGGCUAGAGUGUGGGAGAGGAUGGUAGAAUUCCAGGUGUAGCGGUGAAAUGCGUAGAGAUCUGGAGGAAUACCGAUGGCGAAGGCAGCCAUCUGGCCUAACACUGACGCUGAGGUGCGAAAGCAUGGGGAGCAAACAGGAUUAGAUACCCUGGUAGUCCAUGCCGUAAACGAUGUCUACUAGCCGUUGGGGCCUUUGAGGCUUUAGUGGCGCAGCUAACGCGAUAAGUAGACCGCCUGGGGAGUACGGUCGCAAGACUAAAACUCAAAUGAAUUGACGGGGGCCCGCACAAGCGGUGGAGCAUGUGGUUUAAUUCGAUGCAACGCGAAGAACCUUACCUGGCCUUGACAUAGUAGAAACUUUCCAGAGAUGGA